rnacentral:ncRNA from 1 species
AACUGGGCUAAUCUAUUUAAUAAUAGAAGCAAUAAUGCCAAUAUGAGUAACAAGAAAUAUUUCUCCCUGCAUAAGCUUAUAUCAGAACGGAUAACCACUGAUAGUUAACAACAAGAUAUAUACAACCUAACCAUAAACAAAAUAUCAAACUAAUUGUUAACCCAACACAGGGAUGCAAAUUAGGGAAGAUUAAAAGAAGUAAAAGGAACUCGGCAAACACAAGCCCCGCCUGUUUACCAAAAACAUCACCUCUAGCAUUUCCAGUAUGAGAGGCACUGCCUGCCCGGUGACGCUAGUUAAACGGCCGCGGUAUCCUGACCGUGCAAAGGUAGCAUAAUCAUUUGUUCCCUAAAUAGGGACUUGUAUGAACGGCCACACGAGGGCUUUACUGUCUCUUACUUCCAAGCCGUGAAAUUGACUUCCCGUGAAGAGGCGGGAAUAUAAUAAUAAGACGAGAAGACCCUAUGGAGCUUUAAUUAACCGACCCAAAGAGACCCUAUAUCAAUUAACCGACAGGAACAACAAACCUCUAUGUGGGCCGGCAAUU